GACGAACGCUGGCGGCGUGCUUAACACAUGCAAGUCGAACGGAAAGGCCCUGCUUUUGUGGGGUGCUCGAGUGGCGAACGGGUGAGUAAAACGUGAGUAACCUGCCCUUGACUUUGGGAUAACUUCAGGAAACUGGGGCUAAUACCGGAUAGGAGCUCCUGCCGCAUGGUGGGGGUUGGAAAGUUUCGGCGGUUGGGGAUGGACUCGCGGCUUAUCAGCUUGUUGGUGGGGUAGUGGCUUACCAAGGCUUUGACGGGUAGCCGGCCUGAGAGGGUGACCGGCCACAUUGGGACUGAGAUACGGCCCAGACUCCUACGGGAGGCAGCAGUGGGGAAUAUUGCACAAUGGGCGGAAGCCUGAUGCAGCAACGCCGCGUGCGGGAUGACGGGCUUCGGGUUGUAAACCGCUUUCGCCUGUGACGAAGCGUGAGUGACGGUAAUGGGUAAAGAAGCACCGGCUAACUACGUG
rnacentral:rRNA from 1 species